rnacentral:lncRNA from 1 species
GAUCAGAUCCUAAUACCUUAUGCGGGUCAAACUACACCACUGUCGAUGAUCAUAGAUCUGAAUGGUUCCUCUAGCCAUGCAUGUGCUUAGCCUCCACAGGUAUCCACAUGAGGAUUCCUUCCAAUCAAAGGUGAGAUAAUCUUUCUGGGGUGCUAGCUCUCUUGUAAAGGUCUUCUUUUUGAUGGCUGAUCUGGUUCUCUCUCAGAUCUCACAAACUCUCUUGAGAACUAAGAAAAAUAAGAAGAAGAGA